UACAGAGGUGGCAAGCGUUGUUCGGAAUUACUGGGCGUAAAGGGCGCGUAGGCGGCUUUGCAAGUCAGAUGUGAAAGCCCCGGGCUUAACUCGGGAACUGCAUCUGAAACUGCUUAGCUUGAGUCCUGGAGGGGGUAGUGGAAUUCCCAGUGUAGCGGUGAAAUGCGUAGAUAUUGGGAGGAACACCUGCGGCGAAGGCGGCUACCUGGACAGUGACUGACGCUGAGGCGCGAAAGCUAGGGGAGCGAACGGG
rnacentral:rRNA from 1 species